rnacentral:lncRNA from 1 species
AUACGGAGGCUCAAUGGUGCUGUGAGGAGUCGACAAUAUCGACACUCUACUGGUGCGGUGGCUAGGUUUGUUGCCGUCGGAGCAGUGCCGUCGCUGGUCGAAGGACGGUAAGGUUGCAUGAUUGGGGAAUGGCCGAUUUUUAUUUUAAUUUGUGUGGUAGAAUGGUGAGAUUGUUGAUAUUGGUAUGACGGCGAGACUAGAGAAUAGGAAAAGAAGAGGGAGUGAUUUAUUUAUUUGAGAGGAUGAAUGACCAUUUU